AACUUUCAACAACGGAUCUCUUGGUUCGGCAUCGAUGAAGAAC
rnacentral:rRNA from 1 species